rnacentral:rRNA from 1 species
UACGGAGGGUGCAAGCGUUGUCCGGAUUUAUUGGGUUUAAAGGGUGCGUAGGCGGCUUUUUAAGUCAGUGGUGAAAGACAACAGCUCAACUGUUGCAGUGCCAUUGAUACUGAAGAGCUUGAGUACAGAUGAGGUAGGCGGAAUUUAUGGUGUAGCGGUGAAAUGCAUAGAUACCAUAAAGAACACCUAUUGCGAAGGCAGCUUACUAAGCUGUAACUGACGCUGAGGCGCGAAAGCGUGGGGAUCAAACAGG